rnacentral:sRNA from 1 species
UGUUUGAAGAUACAAAGCCAAAGACUCAUACCGACUUCAGCUACACCAUCAAAGCUUUGUGAGGCAAUAAGAAGCUUGGUUAGUU